rnacentral:rRNA from 1 species
AUUGAACGCUGGCGGCAGGCCUAACACAUGCAAGUCGAGCGGAGCGGCGGACGGGGGCGUAAUGCCUAGGUAUCUGCCUGGUAGUGGGGGAUAACGUUCGGAAACGGGCGCUGAUACCGCAACCUCUCAGCCUAGCCUAGGCGGGCUUGGCUUGUUGGUGGGGUAAAGGCCUACCAAGGCGACGAUCCGUAACUGGUCUGAGCGGAUGAUCAGUCACACUGGAGCUGUGACACGGUCCAGACUCCUACGGGAGGCAGCAGUGGGGAAUAUUGCACAAUGGGCGCAAGCCUGAUACAGCCAUGCCGCGUGUAUGAAGAAGGCCUUCGGGUUGUAAAGUACUUUCAGCGGGGAGGCGUUACCCGCAGAAGAAGCAACGGCUAACUCCGUGCCAGCAGCCGCGGUAAUUC